rnacentral:tRNA from 1 species
UUAGUUAAAACCAAAAAGAGGUGUUUUAUUGUUAAUAAAAUUAUUGAUUAAAUUCUAACUAAA